rnacentral:rRNA from 1 species
AGGUCAAGCUACAAAGGGCGCAUGGUGAAUGCCUUGGCAUCAGGAGCCGAUGAAGGACGUGAUAAGCUGCGAUAAGCUUCGGGUAGGCGCACAUAGCCAGAGAUCCGGAGAUUUCCGAAUGGGGAAACCCGCAUGAGAAACCUCAUGCAUCGUAAAGUGAAUACAUAGCUUUAUGAAGGAACACCUAGGGAACUGAAACAUCUAAGUACCUAGAGGAAGAGAAAGAAAAAUCGAUUUUCUUAGUAGCGGCGAGCGAAAAGGAAAGAGCCCAAACCAGAGAUUUAUCUCUGGGGUUGCGGACAGAACAUAACGUGAAAUUAUGAUUAACCGAACACAACUGGAAAGUUGGACCGUAGGAGGUAAUAGUCCUGUAAGUAAAAGUCAUAAUGAUCAGUUCUGCACCAGAGUACCACGAGACACGUGAAACCUUGUGGGAAGCAGGGAGGACCACCUCCCAAGGCUAAAUACUACCUGAUGACCGAUAGUGAAGCAGUACCGUGAGGGAAAGGUGAAAAGAACCCCGGGAGGGGAGUGAAAUAGAACCUGAAACCAUGUGCCUACAACCGAUCAAAGCACCUUAUGUGUGUGAUGAUGUGCUUUUUGUAGAACGAGCCAACGAGUUACGGUAUGUAGCGAGGUUAAGUACUUAAGGUACGGAGCCGAAGGGAAACCGAGUCUUAAUAGGGCGACUAGUUGCAUGCUGUAGACCCGAAACCGGG